rnacentral:antisense_RNA from 1 species
UUUGAGGCUGCCGAGCCAGAGGGGUUGGUUGUCGGGUCGGUUCUGGCCGUAGGUGGCGAGGAGGGCUUGGGCUUC